AAAGUCCGCGAUGCCUGGAGGCGAGAAAAGCUCUGAGGUAUGCUAAGGUGCCCGUACCGCAAACCGACACAGGUAGAUGAGGAGAGAAUCCUAAGGCCAACGGGAGAAGGGUUGUUAAGGAACUCGGCAAAUUGACCCCGUAACUUCGGAAGAAGGGGAGCCACCUACGGGGGGUCGCAGAGAAAUGGCCCAAGCAACUGUUUACCAAAAACACAGGUCUAUGCUAAAUCGAAAGAUGACGUAUAUGGGCUGACGCCUGCCCGGUGCCGGAAGGUUAAGAGGAGAUGUCAGGCAACGAAGCAUUGAAUUUAAGCCCCGGUAAACGGCGGCCGUAACAAUAACGGUCCUAAGGUAGCGAAAUUCCUUGUCAGGUAAGUUCUGACCCGCACGAAUGGCGUAAUGAUUUGGGCACUGUCUCAACAGCCCGCCCGGCGAAAUUGUAGUACUGGUGAAGAUGCCAGUUACCCGCAACUAGACGGAAAGACCCCAUGGAGCUUUACUGCAGCUUAAUACUGAAAUUCGGUAGUACAUGUACAGGAUAGGUGGGAGACUGAGAAAUACAGGCGUCAGCUUGUAUGGAGUCGCUGUUGGGAUACCACUCUUGUACUGCUGGGUUUCUAACCUGCGGCCGUGAAUCCGGUCGGGGGACACUGUUAGGCGGGCAGUUUGACUGGGGCGGUCGCCUCCCAAAAGGUAACGGAGGCGCUCAAAGGUUCGUUCAGCACGGACGGAAAUCGUGCAAUGAGUGUAAACGCAUAAACGAGCCUAACUGCGACACCGACGGGUGGAGCAGUAACGAAAGUUGGAGUUAGUGAUCCGGUGGUAUGUGAGUGGAAAUGCCAUCGCUCAACGGAUAAAAGCUACCCUGGGAUAACAGGCUGAUCUCCCCCAAGCGUCCACAGCGACGGGGAGGUUUGGCACCUCGAUGUCGGCUCAUCGCAUCCUGGGGCUGAAUUCGGUCCCAAGGGUUUGGCUGUUCGCCAAUUAAAGCGGCACGCGAGCUGGGUUCAGAACGUCGUGAGACAGUUCGGUCCCUAUCUGUUGCGGGCGUAAGAGAUUUGAAGGGAGCUGUCCUUAGUACGAGAGGACCGGGAUGGACGUACCUCUAGUGCACCAGUUGUCCUGCCAAGGGCAUAGCUGGGUAGCUAUGUACGGACGAGAUAAACGCUGAAAGCAUCUAAGCGUGAAACUCCCCCUAAGAUGAGAUCUCUCAUCCUUUAAGGAGUAAGGACCCAGAAAGACGAUCUGGUUGAUAGGCCGAAGGUGGAAGCGCAGUAAUGUGUGCAGCUGAUCGGUACUAAUAGUCCGAGGGCUUGACC
rnacentral:rRNA from 1 species